rnacentral:rRNA from 1 species
CACCAGAUGAAACUAGAUACAAGCGAGCGGCGGACGGGUGAGUAACACGUGGGUAACCUGCCCAAGAGACUGGGAUAACACCUGGAAACAGAUGCUAAUACCGGAUAACAACACUAGACGCAUGUCUAGAGUUUAAAAGAUGGUUCUGCUAUCACUCUUGGAUGGACCUGCGGUGCAUUAGCUAGUUGGUAAGGUAACGGCUUACCAAGGCAAUGAUGCAUAGCCGAGUUGAGAGACUGAUCGGCCACAUUGGGACUGAGACACGGCCCAAACUCCUACGGGAGGCAGCAGUAGGGAAUCUUCCACAAUGGACGCAAGUCUGAUGGAGCAACGCCGCGUGAGUGAAGAAGGGUUUCGGCUCGUAAAGCUCUGUUGGUAGUGAAGAAAGAUAGAGGUAGUAACUGGCCUUUAUUUGACGGUAAUUACUUAGAAAGUCACGGCUAACUACGUGCCAGCAGCCGCGGUAAUACGUAGGUGGCAAGCGUUGUCCGGAUUUAUUGGGCGUAAAGCGAGUGCAGGCGGUUCAAUAAGUCUGAUGUGAAAGCCUUCGGCUCAACCGGAGAAUUGCAUCAGAAACUGUUGAACUUGAGUGCAGAAGAGGAGAGUGGAACUCCAUGUGUAGCGGUGGAAUGCGUAGAUAUAUGGAAGAACACCAGUGGCGAAGGCGGCUC